CUAAACGUUUUUUUCUUUCGUUAAAACACUGAGUUGUUACGUGAUAAAUAUAUUUGAGUCGCAACAGAUAGCAUUACGGCUUUAUUCACUAGAAUUCUAUAAUGAAUACUUAAUAUUCUAUUUUCGAUUUAAAAAAAAAAAAUGUUUGUCCUUUAUUCGUUCCUAAGUAAUUGAUUUCAUUGUGAUCAAUCAGGAUUUGGUAUAAUGAAUGAAUGAAUGAAUGAUUUAUUUUAUUUCAGACAACAAUAAGUCCAUAUGUGUACAUAGUAUCAUUGAAAUAUACUUAACAUUAACAAAACCAAUCAAAUAAAAAAUAUACAUUUAUUAAAAGUAGCUAUCAGUGGAAUACAUUUCAAAUAUUCCAUUCCACUGAUACCUACUUCGAACCAACCAUUAUUAUUACUAAUAUUAUUUAGUCCGCAAGUGAACCAUGGUACAAUGGUUCAAGUACCGACAGUCAUAACGGUCUGUUAAUGCCUUCAGGAUGCUGUUAGGGCUGACCCGGACCCGGCCAAUCAGGGAUGUGCAUCUUUUCCGCAUGGUCGUAAAGAAACAGUCGACUCGUGCCUCGGCGAACAUUCCCGACGCGCUACAGAACCGAGUAUAAUGAUGUUGACACUACAGAGAAGAUUUCUGUCAUAGUACCAUUAACUUACAACAGGUGGCGCGCGGGUGAUUGUUAAUUAAUUGAUGUUAUCGCACAAUUGACAAUCGUUAGAGUGUAAUUGGUAUUAUGUCCCAACUUUUUGUAAAUCUAAUGCUUGCACGUGUUUUUUUGAUUAUAUUUAAUAGAUUGGACCUGAUGAUGCAGUAUAACAAGGCGAUAGAUAUCGGAUGUUACCACUCCAGGACGUUGGAAAUCUACGUGGAGGCUUUUGAGAUCAGCUGUGAGGGCGUCAUGGGUACAAAAAGAUAUGCAGUGAGACAGAGGCGGAGUGGGAAUACACAAUUUACUGCAAGUGUACGACAUUAUCUUUAUUUAUUUAUUUAUUUCAGUACAGUUACAACGGCUGCCCCACGCUUUAAGCCGAAACGCAUUACUGCUUCACGGAAGAAGCAGGCAGGGUGGUGAUACCUACCCGUGCGGACUCAUAAGAGGUCCUACUUUCUUAGUAGUAUGGAGGCAUUCGAAGUAUUUGUGGCUUGGCAGAGGCUUGUGUAUGACAGGGACAAAGGUUAGCGUCGUGAAACUGGAAAGCUUUACUUUUUUAUCCAGACUGAAUUAACGAAGGCAGAGAAAAUCUCAUCAGAGAAAAAUAUGUAGCGUGCAACAUUCGGUUGCACUCGGGCGUCAUCGGUCGCGAUCGGAGUUCCCGAACGCGCAGGUGUCCCGUGACGUCACACUGCGAGAUUCGCGCGCGUCGAUUUAAGUUGAUUUUAAAACGUAUUAUAAUUUUUAGUUUUAAUUGGUGUCUUGUAGUGCCUAGCGACUUGUUUACUCUUUUUACUUUACAAUAGAACAUUGUACACAUAUUACAUUAUGUAUAUUGUUUAAUUGGUGUGUUUGACUUUUAUGUGUUCGGAGCAUAGUAUCCCGAGAAUACAAAUAACAAACCACAAAUACGAUAAAACAUGCAGUCGAUUUUUUAUGUUAUCUAACUGUUAAUUUCUGUUCAAAUGAAAAUAAAUAAUGGCGCAGAUAUCGAAGUAAAUUUAAAUUAUGAAAAUUUAUUGUAAUCUACUUUUGUGAUAAAUCGCAAUUUGUAAUGAAAUCUUCAGUUAUCUGUAAUUGUAUAGACAUACCCCUUCGAGAAAUAACACCGAAUUAGUUGAAUAAGUAAAAGAUAAUCCCUAAACUAGAUUUAUCAAAGCCGAUUCGUAAUUUGCUCUGCGAUAAAACAAUUCUCGCAAAAGAUUUUUACAUGAAAAAAUUCGUUCUUCAGUGGAAUUGCGUAAAAUGUUUUUCUUUUUAGACAAAGCCUAAUUGAAUUAAAAAGUAAGAUGUCACUGUCAGUUUGUUUCGGUAAUGCGGUAACCCCAGUGAAAUUAUUUCGUCUUCAGUUCAGUUUAAUAAUUUGAGGCUUUUUCCGUAAAAAUGGAAAUUACGCGGUCGUCGAGACACACGAGGAAUUUGAUCGAUAGCGUGUUUGGUAAUUUGGUGCUCAUAUUGUGAUGAAUCAAUCAUUAUUUCAUCACAAUAUGAUGAAAUAAUGCUAAUGUUUCUGGAAAAAAAUAUACAUAUAUAUACACACAAAAAUAUACAUAUACAAAUACAUAUAUGCGUCUAAGUUCUAUUACUGAUUUUGCCUAAAACAAACAUUGUUUAACUAAUUAACAGUAGGUACAUGAAACAAUAAAUAAUGGAUAACCCUUUUACAAUACGAACUUUGUGAAUAGCAGCAGAUUUGAAUAGAACAGCGAACUUGAAUCUAAACGGAAUACACAAAAUCCACUCGUUACAUUUUAAUAAACUAAGGAGCUCACAGAAUUAGCACAACGGCAUUGUGGUUGCCGUGAGAAUUAUUGUUAUUUAUGCUUGUUUGCUGGGAGCGUGUAAAACGUAAAUUAAAAGAUUGAAAUUGG